UUGCUUUGGCAGCACAUGUACUAAAACUGGAACAAUACAGAGAUUAGCAUGGCCCCUGUGCAAACAUGACACGCAAAUUUGUGAAAUGUUCCAUAUUUUU
ensembl:snRNA U6 U6 spliceosomal RNA